AAUAUAUAAAAUUUUUAUGGUGCCUUGUAAAAGGAGAAUAGGGAAUCAGGUGUGAAUCCUGGACGAACCCAUCACUGUGAAUGGUUUUGUUUCUGCAAUUGCCACUGGAAACGGGAAGGCGCAGAACCAGAUAAACCAGAGUCAGGAGACCUGCCAGAAAUUAUAAUAGUAU
rnacentral:ncRNA from 1 species